UCUAGUAAUGAUAGCGAAGAGGUCACACCCGUUCCCAUGCCGAACACGGAAGUUAAGCUCUUCAGCGCCGAUGGUAGUUGGGGGUCUCCCCCUGUGAGAGUAGGACGUUGCUAGGC
rnacentral:rRNA from 1 species